rnacentral:lncRNA from 1 species
AUUCGGAAAAGUUCGUAAGAAUGCACAAGAAUAUUGAUUUUGGACUCUUUCACUCGGCUAGUGCCUUCAUGAGUGACCUCUAGAGUUCUCCAAAUAUCAAAAGCCGAGUCACACAUCGAAACGCGAUUAAAUUCAUUUUUGUCAAGUGCACAAUAUAAGGCAUUCAUAGCCUUUGCAUUUAGAGAAAACAUCUUCUUCUCCAAAUCAUUCCAAUGGUUCAUUGGAAGAGAAGACAUUUCAAAU